rnacentral:rRNA from 1 species
UACGGGGGGAGCAAGCGUUGUUCGGAUUUACUGGGCGUAAAGGGCGCGUAGGCGGCCAGCACAAGUCAGUUGUGAAAUCUCCGAGCUUAACUCGGAAAGGUCAACUGAUACUGUGCGGCUAGAGUGCGGAAGGGCAACUGGAAUUCGUUGGUGUAGCGGUGAAAUGCGUAGAUAUCAAGAGGAACACCGAUGGCGAAGGCAGGUCUCUGGGCCACUACUGACGCUGAGAAGCGAAAGCAUGGGAGCGAACAGG